rnacentral:rRNA from 1 species
UUAAAUUAAAGAUUUUUUCCAUUAUCAAUGGGGUGAUUAUCUUAAUCAUCCCUUUUUUGUGUCUUUCGUUGUUUUCCUUACCCCGGCCGAUCGCUGCUUUGGACCAUGAUCAUUAUAGGAUUCCAGGAGAACGGAAUACCGCUAGAGCUUUCGCUAAUAAUGACUUCCCGAAUCAAAAACCAAAGACAAAGGAUGGAACGCGAGCAAGAUACCGCCCUAGUUCUGACCGUAAACGAUGCCAACUAGCGAUCCGCCGGCGGAUUUAUUCGCCCUGGUGGGGAGCUUCCCGGAAACGAAAGUCUUCCGGUUCCGGGGGAAGUAUGGUUGCAAAGCUGAAACUUAAAGGAAUUGACGGAAGGGCACCACCAGGAGUGGAGCCUGCGGCUUAAUUUGACUCAACACGGGGAAACUCACCCGGCCCGGACACCGUAAGGAUUGACAGAUUGAUAGCUUUUUCAUGAUUCGGUGGAUGGUGGUGCAUGGCCGUUCUUAGUUCGUGGAGCGAUUUGUCUGGUUUAUUCCGAUAACGAGCGAGACUCUAGCCUACUAAAUAGUUGGCUCAUUGCUUCUGUGGGCACAACUUCUUAGAGGGAUUUUCGGUGUUCAGCCGCACGAAAUUGAGCAAUAACAGGUCUGUGAUGCCCUUAGAUGUCCGGGGCUGCACGCGCGCUACACUGGCAAAAUCAGCGUGCUUGUCCUUCCCCGAAAGGGGUUGGUAAACCGGUGAAAAUUUGCCGUGAUUGGGAUCGGACAUUGCAAUUAUUGUCCGUGAACGAGGAAUUCCUUGUAGGGGCGAGUCAUCAACUCGCUCUGAAUACGUCCCUGCCCUUUGUACACACCGCCCGUCGCUGCCCGGGACUGAGCCAUUUCGAGAAAUUCGGGGACGGUUAGUGUUCCGGCUUCGGUCGGUAUGCAGACUGGAACCGAUUUAAUCGCAGUGGCUUGAACCGGGCAAAAGUCGUAACAAGGUAGCUGUAGGUGAGCCUGCUGCUG